rnacentral:SRP_RNA from 1 species
GCUCCUAUGCAAUGUUUGUCUUUGAACCUGGUCAGGACCGGAAGGUAGCAGCCAUAAGGAGUUCGAGCAUGUGCCGUAGGGUUUUC